UACGUAGGGUGCGAGCGUUAAUCGGAAUUACUGGGCGUAAAGCGUGCGCAGGCGGUUUUGUAAGCCAGAUGUGAAAUCCCCGGGCUCAACCUGGGAACUGCAUUUGGGACUGCAAGGCUUGAGUACGGCAGAGGAGACUGGAAUUCCUGGUGUAGCAGUGAAAUGCGUAGAUAUCAGGAGGAAUACCGAUGGCGAAGGCAGGUCUCUGGGCUGACACUGACGCUCAUGCACGAAAGCGUGGGGAGCAAACAGG
rnacentral:rRNA from 1 species